AUUGAACGCUGGCGGCAGGCCUAACACAUGCAAGUCGAGCGAGCGGCGGACGGGUGAGUAAUGUUUGGGAAACUGCCUGAUGGCGGGGGAUAACUACGGGAAACGGUAGCUAAAACCGUAUACCAUCAGAUGUGCCCAGAUGGGAUUAGCUAGUGGGUGGGGUAACGGCUCACCUAGGCGACGAUCCCUAGCUGGUCUGAGAGGAUGACCAGCCACACUGGAACUGAGACACGGCCCAGACUCCUACGGGAGGCAGCAGUAGGGAAUAUUGCGCAAUGGGCGAAAGCCUGAUGCAGCCAUGCCGCGUGUGUGAAGAAGGCCUUCGGGUUGUAAAGCACUUUCAGCGGGGAGGCGUUACCCGCAGAAGAAGCACCGGCUAACUCCGUGCCAGCAGCCGCGGUAAUUC
rnacentral:rRNA from 1 species